UACGUAGGGGGCUAGCGUUGUCCGGAAUCAUUGGGCGUAAAGCGCGCGUAGGCGGCCCGGUAAGUCCGCUGUGAAAGUCAAAGGCUCAACCUUUGAAUGUCAGCGGAUACUGCCAGGCUAGAGUCCGGAAGAGGCGAGUGGAACUCCUGGUGUAGCGGUGGAUGCGCAGAUAUCAGGAGGAACACCGAUGGCGAAGGCAGCACUCUGGUACAUGACUGACGCUGAGACGCGAAAGCGUGGGUAGCAAACAGG
rnacentral:rRNA from 1 species